rnacentral:rRNA from 1 species
GAUGAACGCUAGCGGCAGGCUUAACACAUGCAAGUCGAGGGGCAGCACGUCUUCGGAUGGUGGCGACCGGCGCACGGGUGAGUAACGCGUAUGCAAUCUACCUUUUACAGGGGCAUAGCCCGGGGAAACCCGGAUUAAUAUCCUAUAGUACCAUUAUAUAGCAUUAUAUUAUGGUUAAAGUUUCGGCGGUAAAAGAUGAGCAUGCGUCCUAUUAGCUUGAUGGUAAGGUAACGGCUUACCAUGGCUAUGAUAGGUAGGGGUCCUGAGAGGGAGACCCCCCACACUGGUACUGAGACACGGACCAGACUCCUACGGGAGGCAGCAGUGAGGAAUAUUGGACAAUGGGCGCAAGCCUGAUCCAGCCAUGCCGCGUGCAGGAAGACGGCCCUAUGGGUUGUAAACUGCUUUUAUACGGGAAGAAACACCCCUUCGUGAAGGGACUUGACGGCACCGUAUGAAUAAGGAUCGGCUAACUCCGUGCCAGCAGCCGCGGUAAUACGGAGGA